rnacentral:rRNA from 1 species
AGCGAACGCUGGCGGCAGGCCUAACACAUGCAAGUCGAACGAACCUUUCGGGGUUAGUGGCGGACGGGUGAGUAACACGUGGGAACGUGCCUUUAGGUUCGGAAUAACUCAGGGAAACUUGUGCUAAUACCGAAUGUGCCCUUCGGGGGAAAGAUUUAUCGCCUUUAGAGCGGCCCGCGUCUGAUUAGCUAGUUGGUUGAGGUAAUGGCUCACCAAGGCGACGAUCAGUAGCUGGUCUGAGAGGAUGAUCAGCCACAUUGGGACUGAGACACGGCCCAAACUCCUACGGGAGGCAGCAGUGUGGAAUCUUGCGCAAGGGGCGAAAGCCUGACGCAGCCAUGCCGCGUGAAUGAUGAAGGUCUUAGGAUUGUAAAAUUCUUUCACCGGGGACGAUAAUGACGGUACCCGGAGAAGAAGCCCCGGCUAACUUCGUG